rnacentral:ncRNA from 1 species
UAAACGGGGAGCUUGUGUAAGCAGGCUGAGAGUAAGCUGUAUCGCUUUGACCCGCAAACCUGAUUUGGAUAAUGCCAACGUAGGGAACAU